AACAAAAAAAUACAGCUGUCCUCAACUAGUUUUAUAAAUACUUUCAAAAAGGGGGUAGAAAUAAAUACAGGAUUGGGUCAUGUAAUAUAAAAUAGUCAUCUCUACAUAUACUUUAAUUUGAUUUUUAACUCUUCAUGCACCUUUUUUUUUCAAUUUUAGUUGAAUGGACACCAAGCUAGGCACAUAGUGAAAAAUCCUCUGUACAAGGUUACAAAUGUAAUGACAAGUUUGUCCAUUUCAAAAUAAUUAAGAUUUGUACACAACACAUAAAACCCUUCAUUUAGAUCUUGUGUUUAUAACCUAACAAAUGACAUUCCAGGCAACUUUACAAAAGUUUAACUAGCCUACAUUUUGACAUAAUACAUUAAUCAUAAUCAAAGAUAUUUCUUGGUCAGGAUGCACAAGGAAAGAUAAAGCUUAAAAAAAACAAAUGCAAAUGGUUCCAUACUAAUAGAACGCAAGUGGGUGUUCGGGCUGGUUGCUGCUUAUGGCCACCUCAUACAGAGUUCCCAGCAUGACAUGAAACUAACUCACAAAGCUAUCAUUAUACUGUCAGAGAAACCGUGCUCUAUCCAUUUGCAUUUCGAAGCAGGAAUAAAAAGUGUGGGCUUUUUAUUUUUGUGUUUUGUUUUUGUGUGGGUUUUUUUUUUUUAAUAUUUUUUGUUUUGUUUUUGUUUUGUUUUUUGGUUCAGCAUAACUUGGAACAUUUGAAAGCUUUUCAACCUAAAUGUGGGGAAAAAACAGGUAAGGCAUUAUUUUUGCACAAAACUAGCAUUCCUAAUAGUGCAAAUGAAUCUGAUACCUCUUAAAAUGGUGAGAGGUCAUACACUUACUAGAUUAAUUUAGAUUUUCUUUCUUUCUAUGGCUUGACAAAUUAUCCCUCUAUAAAUUCUACUCUCACCCAGAGCUGUUGCUGUAGUCAAAGGAUAACUGUAGAUAAAGUCCAACCUUCUCCUGUAUCCAGCAAAAGGUUUUUGCUCAUAUGCAAAAAAAUCUAAUUUUUAAAUUAUGCUACAAGUGAAUAUACAACUUGGAUUCAUAAGAACCUUCUAUUAUCUGUAGCAACAAGCUGAUCUGGACAGCAGUCUUUCAAAAUGAGCCCCAUAGCUCAAAAAUAGUCAGUCAGUCUAAAAACCUGCAUCAUUCUUCCCCCUCCCCUGAAUUAGCUACUAAAAUGUCCUUGAAAAGUUAAGACUUGGUUUGAAAAUGUCAUACAUACAAUGGGGAUGCAUCAGAUCUACUAUUUGAUCAUCUGAUAAAACUUGCAUAGCAAGAUGGGAUUCAAUAAGCCUUUUUUUGUUGUUGACAAUCAUCUGGAAGACUUGAAAGUUAACUGCAGAACUCAAAGCAUUAUUCAUUAAGUAUCAUAAUGUCCCUGCCAUAUGGAAACAGAUGUAUAAAUGAAUCAGGAAUCUGAAUACUGGUAUUAACAAACUAAGGAGAAUUUAGGGGAAGUCGGGCUUGUUCCAAAGGCCCAUAAUUCUGUAUCUCAUUGCUAUUUAAACGUUCCUUCCUUAAGUUUGAUUCACAACCACAUUGAAUUCCAAAGAAAAUUAACAGGACCUAAACACUAUCCACUGUCUUAAUACAUAUGCACUACAGUGAGUGCAAAAACAAAACAUUGUACUCAAAUUUAAUGCUAAAUUUAUUAUUGCUGAUAACUUAAUAGUUAUUGCCAUUUGCAAUUAGAAAGUCCAAGUUACAAAUUAGAGUUUAGAACUCUGACUACAGAAA
rnacentral:lncRNA from 1 species